rnacentral:siRNA from 1 species
UACCUCACCACAAGACAAGCAACC